CACCCUGAGCUAGGCGUGUUUUGGGAAGUGUGUGCAACGGUGGUUGUUGCCCUCAACCCUGGCACGGGCAGCAAUGGGUCGUCAGCCACGAAUGCUACCUGGUUGAUCCUGCCAGUAGUCAUGCUACCAUGGUGGUGACGGGUGAUGGAGAAUUAGGGUUCGAUUCCGGAGAGGGGGCCUGAGAAACGGCUACCACAUCCAAGGAAGGCAGCAGGCGCGCAAGUUACCCAAUCCUGACACGGGGAGUGAUGA
rfam:Vigna angularis cultivar Jingnong 6 chromosome 4, whole genome shotgun sequence.